rnacentral:rRNA from 1 species
AACGAACGCUGGCGGCAUGCCUAACACAUGCAAGUCGAACGAUAGCUUUCGGGUGAUUGUGGCGCAUGUGUGCAUAACGCGCGAGAAUUUGCUCAUAGGCUCGAAAAAUCACCUGGAAACGAGUGCUAAUACCGGAUGCUAUAUCGAGAACAAAGUUUUAACGACUGAGGAUGGGCCCGCGUUGGUACCGCUAGUUGGUGGUGUAAAGGUGUACCAAGCCGACGAUACAUCGAUGCUCUGAGAGGAUGAUCAGCCACACUGGGACUGAGACACGACCCAGACUCCUACGGGAGGCAGCAGUGGGGAAUAUUGGACAAUGGGCGUCAGCCUUAACCAGCUAUGCCGCGUGAGUGAUGAAGGCACUAGGGUUGUAAAGCUCUUUUACCAGGGACGAUAAUGACGGUACCGGGAGAAUAAGCCCCGGCUAACUCCGUG